rnacentral:rRNA from 1 species
CCUAGGGGAGGCAGCAGUGAGGAAUAUUGGUCAAUGGACGGAAGUCUGAACCAGCCAUGCCGCGUGCAGGAAGACGGCUCUAUGAGUUGUAAACUGCUUUUGUACAAGGGUAAACCUGAAUAAGUGUAUUCAGCUGAAAGUACUGUACGAAUAAGGAUCGGCUAACUCCGUGCCAGCAGCCGCGGUAAUACGGAGGAUCCAAGCGUUAUCCGGAUUUAUUGGGUUUAAAGGGUGCGUAGGCGGAUUGAUAAGUCAGUGGUCAAAUUGAGGGGCUCAACCCCUUCCCGCCAUUGAAACUGGCGUUCUUGAGUGGAAGAGAAGUAUGCGGAAUGCGUGGUGUAGCGGUGAAAUGCAUAGAUAUCACGCAGAACCCCGAUUGCGAAGGCAGCAUGCCGGCUUCCGACUGACGCUGAAGCACGAAAGCGUGGGGAUCGAACAGGAUUAGAUACCCUGGUAGUC